UUCCGCUUGAUCCUGCCGGACCCGACUGCUAUCAGAGUGAGAUUAAGCCAUGCGAGUCAACGUAGCAAUACGUGGCAUACGGCUCAGUAACACGUAGUCAACAUGCCCAGGGGACGUGGAUAACCUCGGGAAACUGAGGAUAAACCACGAUAGGUCAUCACUUCUGGAAUGGGUAAUGACUUAAAUCUAUAUGGCCCCUGGAUUGGACUGCGGCCGAUCAGGCUGUUGGUGAGGUAAUGGCCCACCAAACCUGUAACCGGUACGGGCUCUGAGAGGAGGAGCCCGGAGAUGGGCACUGAGACAAGGGCCCAGGCCCUAUGGGGCGCAGCAGGCGCGAAACCUCUGCAAUAGGCGAAAGCCUGACAGGGUUACUCUGAGUGAUGCCCGCUAAGGGUAUCUUUUGGCACCUCUAAAAAUGGUGCAGAAUAAGGGGUGGGCAAGUCUGGUGUCAGCCGCCGCGGUAAUACCAGCACCCCGAGUGGUCGGGACGAUUAUUGGGCCUAAAGCAUCCGUAGCCGGUUCUGCAAGUCCUCCGUUAAAUCCACCUGCUCAACAGAUGGCUGCGGAGGAUACCGCAGAGCUAGGAGGCGGGAGAGGCAAACGGUACUCGGUGGGUAGGGGUAAAAUCCAUUGAUCCACCGAAGACCACCAGUGGCGAAGGCGGUUUGCCAGAACGCGCUCGACGGUGAGGGAUGAAAGCUGGGGGAGCAAACCGGAUUAGAUACCCGGGUAGUCCCAGCUGUAAACGAUGCAGACUCGGUGAUGGGCCAGCUUCAUGCCGGCUCAGUGCCGCAGGGAAGCCGUUAAGUCUGCCGCCUGGGGAGUACGG
rnacentral:rRNA from 1 species